GGCGUGGUAGAGGAGCAUUCUGAACGCGUUGAAGCGCGAUGGCGACUGACCGUGGAGUGUUCAGAAGUGAGGAUGCAGACAUGAGUAACGAAAAGACGGGUGAAAUCCCCGUCCGCCGUAAACCCAAGGUUUCCCGGGCCACGUUUUUCGUCCCGGGGUUAGUCGGGACCUAAGCCGAGGCGGAGACGCGUAGGCGAUGGACAGCGGGUUAAUAUUCCCGCACUUGCGAACCUUAACCCGGAAGGACGCAUCGAUGGAGGCAACCAAGUGAUUGAAUUCCCAGGUGAGGCUUCGGCUGAUCCGCAUUGCCAAAGUCGGUGCCUAGAAAAGUUCCGGUGCAUGCUAAGCAACCCGUACCGCAAACCGACACAGGUGGGUGGGUAGAAUAUACCAAGGCGUAAGAGUGAACCCCGGUUAAGGAACUCGGCAAAUUGGCCCCGUAACUUCGGGAGAAGGGGUGCCUGGUUUCGAUCAGGCCGCAGUGAAAUGGCCCAACCGACUGUUUAGCAAAAACACAGCAUUCUGCCAAGCCGCAAGGCCAAGUAUAGGAUGUGACACGUGACCAAUGCGGAAAGAUUAAGGUAAGAUGUUAGCCGCAAGGCGAAGCUUUGAGCCCAAGUCCCCGUGAAUGUCGGCCGUAACUAUAACGGUCCUAAGGUAGCGAAAUUCCUUGUCGGGUAAGUUCCGACCUGCACGAAUCGUGAAACGAGUUGGGCGCUGUCUCAACCGGGUGCUCAGUGAAAUUGUAAUGGCGGUGAAGAUGCCGCCUGCCCGCAGAAGGACGGAAAGACCCUAUAGACCUUAACUGUAAGCUGUCAUUGGUUCUUCGAUUUUCAUGCUCAGCAUAAGUGGGAGACUUUGAUGCGGUCCUUCAGGGGAUCGCGGAGUCGCCAGUGAGAUACCACCCUUGGGUGUUGGAGGAUCUAACCUCGGUCCCGUGAAUCCGGGCGAGGGACAUUGUCAGCCGGUCAGUUUUACUGGGGCGGUAUCCUCCCAAAGAGUAACGGAGGAGCGCGAAGGUGGGUUCAGCACGGUCGGUAACCGUGUGUCGAGUGCAUUGGCAUAAACCCGCCUAACUGUGAGACCCACAAGUCGAGCAGAUGGGAAACCAGGCCAAAGUGAUCCGGCGGUAGAAUGUGGAAUUGCCGUCGCUCAACGGAUAAAAGGUACCUUAGGGAUAACAGGCUGAUUUCAUCCAAGAGUUCAUAUCGACGAUGAAGUUUGGCACCUCGAUGUCGGCUCGUCGCAUCCUGGGGCUGGAGAAGGUCCCAAGGGUCCGGCUGUUCGCCGGUUAAAGCGGCACGCGAGCUGGGUUCAGAACGUCGCGAGACAGUUCGGUCCUCUAUCCUCUGUGGGCGCAGGAAAAUUGCGGGGUUCGGUUCCUAGUACGAGAGGACCGGAAUCGACGCACCUCUGGUGCACCGGUUGUUCUGUCAAGAGCAUGGCCGGGUAGCUACGUGCGGAAGGGAUAAGCGCUGAAAGCAUCUAAGCGCCAAGCCCCUCCCAAGAUGAAUUUUCCCCGAAGGAUCGUCGGAGACCACGACGUUGAUAGGCUUCAGGUGGAAGCGUGGCAACACGUUGAGCCGAGAAGUACUAAUCAUCCGUUCGGCUUGAUU
rnacentral:rRNA from 1 species